ensembl:misc_RNA Metazoa_SRP Metazoan signal recognition particle RNA
GCCAGGCGUGGUGGCACGUGCCUGUAGUCCUAGUUACUUGGGAGGCUGAGGCAGGAGAAUUGCUUGAACCCAGGAGGCAGAGGUUGCAGUGAGCCGAGAUCGCGCCACUGCACUCCAGCCUGGGUGAUAGAGUAAGACUCUGUCUCUA